CCUGUAGGGUGACCUGCGGAAGGAUCAUUACAGUAGUCGCCCGGGUUGCCGCAAGGCCUCCCGGGCAACCUACCACCCUUUGUUUAUUACACUUUGUUGCUUUGGCAGGCCUGCCCUCGGGCUGCUGGCUCCGGCCGGCGAGCGUCUGCCAGAGGACCUAAACUCUGUUUGUCUAUACUGUCUGAGUACUAUAUAAUAGUUAAAACUUUCAACAACGGAUCUCUUGGUUCUGGCAUCGAUGAAGAACGCAGCGAAAUGCGAUAAGUAAUGUGAAUUGCAGAAUUCAGUGAAUCAUCGAAUCUUUGAACGCACAUUGCGCCCCCUGGUAUUCCGGGGGGCAUGCCUGUCCGAGCGUCAUUACAACCCUCAAGCUCAGCUUGGUGUUGGGCCCCGCCGCCCCGGCGGGCCCUAAAGUCAGUGGCGGUGCCGUCCGGCUCCGAGCGUAGUAAUUCUUCUCGCUCUGGAGGCCCGGUCGUGUGCUCGCCAGCAACCCCCAAUUUUUUUCAGGUUGACCUCGGAUCAGGUAGGGAUACCCGCUGAACUUAAGCAUAUCA
rnacentral:rRNA from 1 species